GUUAAAUCGGAAAAGCGGCAGAUUUGCAACUUGCCGGAUUUAAACAUUUUCGGCAAAUCGGGAAACCGGCAACUUGGCGGAAUUAAAAAUUUCCGGCAAAUCGGCGAAUCGGCAAAAUUGCCGGAAAUGAAAGUUUCCUGCAAAACGGC
ensembl:ncRNA F32B5.10 ncRNA